rnacentral:rRNA from 1 species
GACGAACGCUGGCGGCGUGCUUAACACAUGCAAGUCGAACGGAAAGGCCCUGCUUUUGUGGGGUGCUCGAGUGGCGAACGGGUGGGUAACACGUGAGUAACCUGCCCUUGACUUUGGGAUAACUUCAGGAAACUGGGGCUAAUACCGGAUAGGAGCUCCUGCUGCAUGGUGGGGGUUGGAAAGUUUCGGCGGUUGGGGAUGGACUCGCGGCUUAUCAGCUUGUUGGUGGGGUAGUGGCUUACCAAGGCUUUGACGGGUAGCCGGCCUGAGAGGGUGACCGGCCACAUUGGGACUGAGAUACGGCCCAGACUCCUACGGGAGGCAGCAGUGGGGAAUAUUGCACAAUGGGCGGAAGCCUGAUGCAGCAACGCCGCGUGCGGGAUGACGGUCUUCGGGUUGUAAACCGCUUUCGCCUGUGACGAAGCGUGAGUGACGGUAAUGGGUAAAGAAGCACCGGCUAACUACGUG